rnacentral:rRNA from 1 species
UACGUAGGAUGCAAGCGUUGUCCGGAAUUAUUGGGCGUAAAGAGCGCGCAGGCGGUAACUCAAGUCAGAUGUGAAAUAUCCGGGCUUAACCCGGAGGGGUCAUUUGAAACUGAGUAACUAGAGUACAGCAGAGGAUAGCGGAAUUCCCGGUGUAGUGGUGAAAUGCGUAGAUAUCGGGAGGAACACCGGUGGCGAAGGCGGCGACCUGGGUUGACAUUGACGCUGAGGCGCGAAAGCGUGGGGAGCAAACAGG